rnacentral:sRNA from 1 species
GAAUGGACUCUAAAGUAAUGAUACCUGAGUGGUAGGAGUACAAGCCCUUUCUAAGUUUUCUCUGAACAUAUAUUACUUGUGCAGGAAGUUAUUUUUUUAAGUCAUAAAUCUAGUCUACCUCAUCUCUUCUCCCAGGCCUGAGCUGAAGCCUGUGGACAAGGAAUCAGAGGUCGUAAUGAAGUAAGUGCUGGGCCACUGGGACUGGUGGGGAAUUGCUUGCUUCCAGCUGCCCCCACAUCCUCACCCCUACCUCCUGCAGGUUCCCUGAUGGGUUUGAGAAGUUCUCGCCGCCAAUUCUGCAGCUAGAUGAGGUGGAUUUCUACUAUGAUCCGAAGCACGUCAUCUUCAGUCGCCUCUCUGUGUCUGCUGAUCUCGAGUCUCGCAUCUGUGUGGUUGGAGAGAAUGGGGCUGGGAAGUCUACCAUGCUGAAGCUGCUUUUGGGGGACCUGGCACCUGUUCGGGGCAUCAGACACGCUCACAGGAAUCUGAAGAUUGGCUAUUUCAGCCAGCACCAUGUGGAGCAGCUGGACCUAAACGUCAGUGCUGUGGAACUGCUGGCGCGCAAGUUUCCUGGGCGGCCUGAGGAGGAGUACCGUCACCAGCUGGGUCGGUAUGGCAUCUCCGGAGAACUGGCCAUGCGUCCUGUUGCCAGCUUGUCUGGGGGCCAGAAGAGCCGAGUGGCCUUUGCUCAGAUGACUAUGCCCUGCCCCAACUUCUACAUUCUGGAUGAACCCACAAACCACCUGGACAUGGAGACCAUCGAGGCUCUGGGCCGUGCCCUCAACAAUUUCAGGGGUGGUGUGAUUCUGGUGUCCCACGAUGAGCGCUUUAUCAGGCUGGUGUGCCGGGAGUUGUGGGUGUGCGAAGGAGGCGGCGUCACCCGCGUGGAAGGAGGAUUUGACCAGUACCGCGCCCUCCUCCAGGAACAGUUCCGCCGCGAAGGCUUCCUCUAGGGCCACCAGGCUGAGGACUCGCCCAGGACAUGGACUGGUCUCUCAGACCCCUGGGCCACCACGUAGGCCACCACUCCAGGCCGUGGACUUCCCCCAACUUGGGGACAGCCUUAUUCCCAAAUGUCUCUCUCCUUUUGACUGGAGCAUCUUCUGCACAACCUUGGGAGCCCCAUCCAAGGGUUGGUGAGGACUGGUCUCCCGGGGGCGGGGGUCUGGGGGGUACCCUCUGGGGUUAUAGAUUCCCCCACUGCCCCAGCCCUGACUGGACCCCAAGUGGCUGCUAUGUAAAUUAAAUCUCUCCCCGCGUCU